GAGAAGGAAGACGGAGAACUUACUGACAUGUCUGAGAAUCAGGAACCACCAAAUCCGGCGGCUACCGCUGGGAGUUCGUCUUCCGGCGUUCGAAUGGAAGCAGGGCCACCGCACGAGGCGUUAUUUCUUGUACUGAGUUAUCUUCCUCUCUUUGAGCUUCUUUCCAUGAGGGCAGUGUGCGUAUCGCUGAGAGACGCAGUGGAACAUGAUGUGUUGCCGUGGCUUCACAUCCUCGUCGAUCGGCGUUUGAGCUCCCGGCUAUCCGAUUACACUCUGGGGAGAAUCGCCAGGAAGGCCGGUGGUCGCCUUAGAACUUUGGCUUUGAUCAAUUGUUUCAAGAUUUCAGAUUCUGGACUUCACGAAGUUGUUGAGAAGAAUCCUCUUCUCACCAAGCUUUAUGUACCUGGAUGCACGAGUUUGACUCCUGCGGGAGUGGUUAGGGCAGUGGAGACUUUAUCUCAACAUUCUCACAAUUUGAAGAGCCUAAUGAUUGGUGGCAUUUACAACAUAGAGAACCAACACCUUGAAGUCCUCAAAUGCCACCUUUUCAAGAACCGAUCGCAGCAGCAGCAGCAGCAGGAGCGGCAACACCACCACCUCUACCAUGAGCACAUUGAUCGGUCGAAGUUGUUGUGUAAUGAAUUCCAGCCAGUGAUUGAUGUACAAAUCUGCCCAAAAUGCUAUGACAUAAGGAAUGUUUAUGAUUGC
rnacentral:misc_RNA from 1 species